UCACCCCUCAAGCCCUGGGCUUGGUGUUGGACGGCCGGUCGAGCGCAUCGACCCCUCCGAAAGACAAUGACGGCGGCCUGUGGUUCCCCCGGUACACUGAGCUUCUCACCGAGCACGUACCGGACAAGGGCACCCGGGACCCGGUCCUCUCCUUUCACAAGGAAACUUCUAU
rnacentral:misc_RNA from 1 species